UGGGCUUGACAUAUGCAGGAUCGGCACAGAGAUGUGUUUUCCCUUGUGGUCUGUAUACAGGUGGUGCAUGGUUGUCGUCAGCUCGUGUCGUGAGAUGUUGGGUUAAGUCCCGCAACGAGCGCAACCCUUGUCUUGUGUUGCCAGCACGUUAUGGUGGGGACUCGCGAGAGACUGCCGGGGUUAACUCGGAGGAAGGUGGGGAUGACGUCAAAUCAUCAUGCCCCUUAUCG
rnacentral:rRNA from 1 species